rnacentral:rRNA from 1 species
CUUCGGGUUGUAAGCACUUUAAGUUGGGAGGAAAAGCUGAGGGUUAUAGCCUUUAGUGUUGACGUUACCAACAGAAUAAGCACCGGCUAACUCCGUGCCAGCAGCCGCGGUAAUACGGAGGGUGCAAGCGUUAAUCGGAAUUACUGGGCGUAAAGCGCGCGUAGGCGGUUUGUUAAGUCAGAUGUGAAAUCCCCGGGCUCAACCUGGGAAUGGCAUUUGAGACUGGCAGGCUAGAGUAUGGUAGAGGUGAGUGGAAUUUCAGGUGUAGCGGUGAAAUGCGUAGAGAUCUGAAGGAACAUCAGUGGCGAAGGCGACUCACUGGGCCAUUACUGACGCUGAGGUGCGAAAGCGUGGGUAGCAAACAGGAUUAGAUACCCUGGUAGUCCACGCCCUAAACGAUGUCAACUAGGUGUAUGGAGAAUUUAUUCUUUGUGUAUCGAAGCUAACGCGAUAAGUUGACCGCCUGGGGAGUACGGUCGCAAGACUAAAACU